UAGAAGAUGGUGUAUUGGAAGCACCAAGAGUUUUGAUCUCUUUGGAGUGGGUUCGAGUCCCAUUCUUUUAA
rnacentral:tRNA from 1 species